rnacentral:rRNA from 1 species
UACACACCGCCCGUCACACCAUGGGAGUUUGUUGCACCAGAAGCAGGUAGCUUAACCGCAAGGGGGGCGCUUGCCACGGUGUGGCCGAUGACGGGGGUG